rnacentral:rRNA from 1 species
AUUGAACGCUGGCGGCAGGCCUAACACAUGCAAGUCGAGCGGCAGCGGGAAAGUAGCUUGCUACUUUUGCCGGCGAGCGGCGGACGGGUGAGUAAUGCCUGGGAAAUUGCCCAGUCAAGGGGGAUAACAGUUGGAAACGACUGCUAAUACCGCAUACGCCCUACGGGGGAAAGCAGGGGACCUUCGGGCCUUGCGCGAUUGGAUAUGCCCAGGUGGGAUUAGCUAGUUGGUGAGGUAAUGGCUCACCAAGGCGACGACCCCUAGCUGGUCUGAGAGGAUGAUCAGCCACACUGGAACUGAGACACGGUCCAGACUCCUACGGGAGGCAGCAGUGGGGAAUAUUGCACAAUGGGGGAAACCCUGAUGCAGCCAUGCCGCGUGUGUGAAGAAGGCCUUCGGGUUGUAAAGCACUUUCAGCGAGGAGGAAAGGUUGAUGCCUAAUACGUAUCAACUGUGACGUUACUCGCAGAAGAAGCACCGGCUAACUCCGUGCCAGCAGCCGCCGUAA